rnacentral:rRNA from 1 species
CUACGGGGCGCUGCAGUCACGAAUCUUCCACAAUGGCCGAAAGGCUGAUGGAGCAAUGCCGCGUGCAGGAAGAAGCUUUUCGGAGUGUAAACUGCUUUUAUUAGGGACGAAUCCAUGACGGUACCUAAUGAAUAAGGGGCUGCUAACCUCGUGCCAGCAGCAGCGGUAAUACGAGGGCCCCAAGCGUUAUCCGGAUUUAUUGGGCGUAAAGGGUCCGUAGGCGGUUUGGCGCAUCUUCUGUUAAAUCUCCCGGCUCAACCGGGAAACCGCGGAAGAGAUGGCUAAACUAGAGGUCGGUAGAGGCAAGCGGAAUUGCUGGUGUAGGGGUUAAAUCCGUUAAUAUCAGCAGGAACACCAAAUGCGAAGGCAGCUUGCUAGAACGAACCUGACGCUCAGGGACGAAAGCGUGGGGAGCGAAUGGGAUUAGAUACCCCUGUAGUC